AUUGAACGCUGGCGGCAGGCCUAACACAUGCAAGUCGAGCGACAGGCGGACGGGUGAGUCAUAUAGUGGGAUCUGCGCGAAAGAGGGGGGUAACUACAGGAAACGGUGGCUCAUACUGCAUACUGUCGGAUGAACUCAUAUUGGAUUAGCUAGUAGGUAAGGUAAUGGCUUACCUAGGCGACGAUCCCUAGCUGGUAUGAGAGGAUGAUCAGCCACACUGGGACUGAGACACGGCCCAGACUCCUACGGGAGGCAGCAGUGGGGAAUAUUGCACAAUGGGCGAAAGCCUGAUGCAGCCAUGCCGCGUGUAUGAAGAAGGUCCUCGGGUUGUAAAGUACUGUCAGUCGGGAGGCGUUACCGACAGAAGAAGCACCGGCUAACUCCGUGCCAGCAGCCGCGGUAAUUC
rnacentral:rRNA from 1 species